GAUAAACGCUGGCGGCGUGCAUGAGACAUGCAAGUCGAACGAAGGAUCGGGCUUGCUCGCUCCUUAGUGGCGGCCGGCUGCGUAACGCGUAGGUGACCUACCCCGAAGUGGGGGAUAACUGCCCGAAAGGGUGGCUAAUACCGCAUGUGGUCGCACGUUCAUUCGUGCGAGUUAAGCCGCAAGGCGCGUCGGGGGGGGCCUGCGUCCGUUUAGCGGGUUGGUGUGGGAAUGGCUUACCAAGGCGACGUUCGGUAGGUGGUCUGAGAGGACGAGCACCCAGACUGGGACUGAGACACGGCCGGGAAUCCUACGGGAGGCAGCAGUCGGGAAUGGUGCUCAAUGGGGGAAGCCCUGAAGCAGCAACGCCGCGUGAGGGAUGAAGGCCUUCGGGUUGUAAACCGCUUUUGUCAGGGAUGAUGAUGACGGUACCUGGCGAAUAAGCCACGGCUAACUACGUG
rnacentral:rRNA from 1 species